rnacentral:lncRNA from 1 species
CCGGUGGCUUAAAUAGUCUUAACCUUAAUUGAAUUAAUCGGUGUGAAUAAUUAAUUAAUUAUUGCUUUAAUUUAUCAAGGAUGAGAGCUCUAUUGAAGCUCAAUAUACUCGAUACUUUGGGUGAUAGCAAUUAUUAUUUGACAUGCAAUUAUAUUGCAAUAAGGAUCUGUGUCCUGCUAAUAACAGGAUGAUAAUAUCCUCUUGAGAAACUUAAUAA